AUUGAACGCUGGCGGCAGGCCUAACACAUGCAAGUCGAACGGUAACAGGAAGAAGCUUGCUUCUUUGCUGACGAGUGGCGGACGGGUGAGUAAUGUCCGGGAAACUGCCUGAUGGAGGGGGAUAACUACUGGAAACGGUAGCUAAUACCGCAUAACGUCGCAAGACCAAAGAGGGGGACCUUCGGGCCUCUUGCCAUCGGAUGUGCCCAGAUGGGAUUAGCUAGUAGGUGGGGUAACGGCUCACCUAGGCGACGAUCCCUAGCUGGUCUGAGAGGAUGACCAGCCACACUGGAACUGAGACACGGUCCAGACUCCUACGGGAGGCAGCAGUGGGGAAUAUUGCACAAUGGGCGCAAGCCUGAUGCAGCCAUGCCGCGUGUAUGAAGAAGGCCUUCGGGUUGUAAAGUACUUUCAGCGGGGAGGAAGGGAGUAAAGUUAAUACCUUUGCUCAUUGACGUUACCCGAAGAAGAAGCACCGGCUAACUCCGUG
rnacentral:rRNA from 1 species